AGAGUCAAAUGUAUAUGAACAAGCUAGCAUGGCUUGAGAUGUGUGUAUCCUGUAUGGUUAUUGACAGUUGUGUUGCUUACAGGUCUCAUAUCUGAGGGGGAGAACACACGGAAGGGGGGGACGGUGGCUCGUGUCAAGAAGGACUUAUCAGGUAAACACCCAGUGUCGGCUCUCACAGAACUCUGCAACAAGAGAAGAUGGGGACCGCCGAACUUCAUCAUUGUGCAAGAAUCUGGCCCAGACCACAAGAAAAGCUUCCUCUUCAAGGUGAUUGUAAACGGCGUAGAGUACCAGUCAUCAGCAGUAAGUGCCAACAAGAAGCUAGCCAAGGCCCAGGCGGCCAGUGUGUGUCUCCAGGAGCUGGGACUGAUACCUCGGGACUGAUACCCCGCGACUGAUACCCCGCGACUGACAAUGGAGGACAUUCAGCAGAGUGAUGUACACAUUUCUAUCGAGUACUUGGACACAUAUUGUUUGAGACCGGGGUUUAAGGAGGUACUAUACCCCACCACCUGGAGCCCAUGUCCAGGUGAGAUGGACGGAGUGACACAUUGUCUCGGUAGAAUUAGGGGAAACUAAUGUUGACUUGGCAGAUGAAGAAGAGGGCUUGAAUGAAACGUCCUGGAACUUGUGCUCCUUUUGGGCAAAUGAAAGUUGUUGGGUGUCUGGAUCCAGUUACGAAAUAUACAGGUUGUGCUUAAUGUGGCUAGGAGGUGGCGUGAUGUGAACAUGGCUGUUGGGGCACUGCACUGAGGCAUUUACUGAGGUGUUAACGGUAGCUUAUACUGAGGUGUUAGCUUAUACUGAUGUCUUAGCUUAUACUGAUGUCUUAGCUUAUACUGAUGUCUUAGCUUAUACUGAUGUGCAGCAGACAGGAAGGUAGAUGAAAUAGCUUGAUGUCCCUACAUGUUGACCUGCCUCAUGAUAGUGACUGUGUAUACAUCUGGAGAGUUGGGGGAGGGAGAGACAGUUCGAUAGACCAAUGGUCUCUGUGCUGGUCACAAUGAGGACUCAAUCUUAGCAAGGCUAGACACAGAGACUCUAGGAACUCUGGAGGGACCCAUUGCUGCUUCCUCAUGUCAUGUACACCACAGGUGCUGUGGACCAGUUGAGUUAAGUCAUGGUGUGGAGUCACACUGUGGACCAUGAAUAAUGAUUUUAGUGAACCCAUAAUAUUGCUGAAGUAUUGCAAUGUACGUCCGUAUGGUGGGAGUGGCAGUCGAUAUGCAUCUCAUUAGUCUGGAGAUGUUGUGUUCAAAUGUAGUGUACAUAGUGUGGAUGAGAUGGAAUCAAAACUGAUUGUACAGGAUUGUGUGUGUAUGUUGAAAGCAAGGUGAUGAUGUCAUGCAUGGCGGUUUUAUUGUAGUUUGUUUAGAUGAAUGUUGAAUGAGCAUGGAUGUUAGUCAGCGCCUCGAAGACCAUCUACAGCAUGACUGUGCACAUAGCUGAGGUCACCAGGUCUCGCUUUCUGAUAAGGAUUAAGAUAGAUUAACAUGGGUGUAGGGGGCCAGUCAUCUAAGGUGCCACAAUUUGCCAUGCAGAGUUGCAUCCCUUGAGUAUGCCAGAAACCUAUGAUCGUGGUUCAAAUUUUGGUUCGCUCUGUAUAUUUUCUAGGCCUGUCAGCGCCAUACCUGUGCUAGUGGGUUCUACCAAAGUGGUUAACAUAAGAUAUGGAUCACUUUGGGCUUUCCUCCCACAUUAAGCUGACACGCUGUGAUAUAACUGUAAUAUUGUUCAAAGUGGCGUUUAACUCAACUCACUCACUACACAGGAAUAAUUAGUCAGGGUAUUAUGGAAUACCCCCGGUAAUUGAAGAUCCCAAUCAAGGGUUCCGCAGUACAGAAAGGUUAGCAGGUGAUGUGGUACAUGUGUAAUGGGCAUUAUUUACUAUAUGCUUGUGAACGAACUUGGAUAUAAGAGCCCAGUUUCUGACAACUCAGUACUUGUCAGAAGCUGGUGUCGUCAGUUUUUCCCUGUCCACUUUCUUUUGUUUGGAAUGGAGGAUCAUAUCCAUGUCAUUGUUUGCAAGUAUUUAUUCUUGGGGUGAAACGAUACAUCGGUGCACCGGUGCAUUGUAAGUUUUCUUCUGUAUCGAUACAAUAUGAUACACUAAAUUUGCUAAAAUUUAUUACUUGUAAUUACUACUCAUUUAUUGACCACCUUGCAAUUUUGUCAAGCAAAUUUCGCAAAUUGUGUUGUAAUUAGCAUUUUAAGUUCUCUACUAAAAAUAGGAGCUUUGAACAUGAUUCUAUUUGAAAUAUUUGUAGUCAAGGAGUUUCCACGCAAUUUGCUGAAAUAUGUGUAUCGCGACGUAUCGUAUUGUUACCUAUGUGUUGAAUUGCGUAUCGUAUAGUGAACUUGCUGUAUCGUUUCACCCCCUAAUUAUUUUACUGUGGGGAGUUUCAUGGGGUUCUUGUGGUGAAGGAUGAUAUGAUACGCGUCAUGAUAAUGAAGGUAUGACACGAUGUGUAUCCUGAUACAGAAACAACUCAAGCUGAUGAUGUCAGUGUAGUAUUAUUCAUAAAAAAGCAAGUCCAGCUGCUCUAUCAGAAGCAGGAAGAAAAUCAUUAGAGGAGAGAAAGGUAUUGUGUGAUAAAUGAUAUAGGAGAUGGUUCGUCUAGUGGACAUGAUGUUCACAAUGUCCCUGUAUUGGCUGGCUGGGCAUGUUGCCGUCUGCUGCCACCAUUUUGCCAAAAUAGUAUGUGUCAUCUGUUUGGCUGAUUGUCAUUGGUGAAAAUACUGCAGACAAGAUGUUGUGCACAAAAAUUUGCUGUGCAGUACCAGAAGGCAUUGUUUCGUAUCAGUACAUCAGCCUAUGAUACUAUAAGUUGUAUCAGUAUUAUCAUGAUGCUGUCAUGCAUCUCCUCCGCUCUAGGCCCUACACAGUAUAUAUCCAGUGAUGCAUCCAGACCUUGUUGCAAUAACACCUGACUUGGGAGUAAAUAUUCGUCUUGGGAGUGCGAGACUUCACUUUGAAGAUUUUGCUCUUAACAUGGGUCUAAAACGGUUUUAAAUGACACUAGAAAAUGAUGACAAAUUAAGCAGGUUAGUUUUGGCCUAAUUAUUCUGUGGGUCAGUGUUUCUGUGAAAAUGGAUGCAUCUCUGUAUAUUGUGAAGAAUAAACAAUGUCUGAAACUAAGAGUGAUCUGGUUUUGUCAUCUGGCAAGUGUUCCAAGGUCACAAGAUAUUUUCUUUUACCAAUAUUUAGUUGGCCUCUGCAAUGAUUUGUUAUUAAAACUGGAAAUAAUAAA